CGGAGGAAAAGAAACCAACAGGGAUUGCCUUAGUAACGGCGAGUGAAGCGGCAACAGCUCAAAUUUGAAAGCUGGCUCCUUUGGAGUCCGCGUUGUAAUUUGUAGAGGAUGAUUCGGCAAGGGCUCCCGCCUAAGUCUCCUGGAACGGAGCGUCAUAGAGGGUGAGAAUCCCGUAUGCGGUGGGCUGCCUAAGCCAUGUGAAUCUCCUUCGACGAGUCGAGUUGUUUGGGAAUGCAGCUCUAAAUGGGAGGUAAAUUUCUUCUAAAGCUAAAUACCGGCCAGAGACCGAUAGCGCACAAGUAGAGUGAUCGAAAGAUGAAAAGCACUUUGGAAAGAGAGUUAAAAAGUACGUGAAAUUGUUGAAAGGGAAGCGCUUGCAGCCAGACUUGUCCGCAGUUGCUCAGCCGGUCUCCUGACCGGUGUACUCUUCUGCGGCCAGGCCAGCAUCAGUUCGGGCGGUCGGAUAAAGACCUCGGGAAUGUAGCUCCUCUCGGGGAGUGUUAUAGCCCGGGGUGGAAUGCGGCCAGCCUGGACUGAGGAUCUCGCUUCGGCUAGGAUGCUGGCGUAAUGGCUGUAAGCGGCCCGUCUUGAAACACGGACCAAGGAGUCUAACAUCUAUGCGAGUGUUUGGGUGUCAAACCCAUGCGCGUAAUGAAAGUGAACGGAGGUGGGAACCCUCACGGGUGCACCAUCGACCGAUCCUGAUGUCUUCGGAUGGAUUUGAGUAAGAGCAUAGCUGUUGGGACCCGAAAGAUGGUGAACUAUGCCUGAAUAGGGUGAAGCCAGAGGAAACUCUGGUGGAGGCUCGCAGCGGUUCUGACGUGCAAAUCGAUCGUCAAAUUUGGGUAUAGGGGCGAAAGACUAAUCGAACCAUCUAGUA
rnacentral:rRNA from 1 species